rnacentral:rRNA from 1 species
UACGUAGGUGGCAAGCGUUAUCCGGAAUUAUUGGGCGUAAAGCGCGCGCAGGCGGUUUCUUAAGUCUGAUGUGAAAGCCCACGGCUCAACCGUGGAGGGUCAUUGGAAACUGGGGAACUUGAGUACAGAAGAGAAAAGCGGAAUUCCACGUGUAGCGGUGAAAUGCGUCGAGAUGUGGAGGAACACCAGUGGCGAAGGCGGCUUUUUGGUCUGUAACUGACGCUGAGGCGCGAAAGCGUGGGGAGCAAACAGG